GUAUCCACAAUCCUAAAUAAAACAACAACUACUGACUUUAAUUUCAAUCAAAUAGUUUUCAAGGGUAAUUCCACCGUGAUUGAGGCCAAUGUAGAGUAUGUUUUCACAGACAGUGACAUCGGUAGUUUCAGCUUGGUCACAACUUUGCUCGGACUUACUACAACAGCCGCUCCAACCACCUUUUACCCCACAAUUCUGCACACUACCAUCUCAAACAACAGUACUAAUGCAGCUUGGGUUGUGGCUAUCAUUGUCCCCUGUGCUAUUAUCAUCGGGCUUAUACCUUGCUGGAUUCUUCUUUGCUGUUUGCUGUGUGGUUGCUGUGCAGCAAUCAGAAGACGUUGGCACAGAAGACGGUCAUACAAUGUGCAGUACACCACUCGAAACAGUCUCUUCUAGAGAUAUUCAAGAACAAACUUUAAAUGCUUAAAAGUGUAUUAAUUUUCCUGUAUUGCUGGGCAUACAGGACAUCUCCAAAUGUGAUACAACUGUGAUUUAGAAAAAAAAAAAACUAUUUAAGGAAUUAUUUUAUUUAUUUGAAAAUGAUGUUAUGUAAAGUAAUGAUAAUCUUGUUUACUGAAUGAAAGAUUUAUUUGGUAGCAUGUAUCUAAUGUUAUGGGACAAAUGUAGAAUUGGUUUAUUUACACUUCAUGUACUUUAUCUUUA